rnacentral:rRNA from 1 species
AGUGGCGGACGGGUGAGUAACGCGUGGGUAACCUGCCUCAUACAGGGGGAUAACAGUUAGAAAUGACUGCUAAUACCGCAUAAGACCACAGCACCGCAUGGUGCAGGGUAAAAACUCCGGUGGUAUGAGAUGGACCCGCGUCUGAUUAGGUAGUUGGUGGGGUAACGGCCUACCAAGCCGACGAUCAGUAGCCGACCUGAGAGGGUGACCGGCCACAUUGGGACUGAGACACGGCCCAA